GGACGCCCGGUAGCCGCCCCCACCGCCUCCGCCCCAGGCAAGGCCGGCCGGCGCCGCGGAAAGCAGCCUCAGGGAAGGAGGAGGAAGAGGGGCAGGUGUAGGGAGUGAAGAAGCAAAAAGAGGAGGAGGAAGAGGAGCUCAGGGCCGUCCCCGCGCAAUUAAUGGGCGGCUCCUGCGCCCUGGACCGGCCCGCCCCCCAAGCCCCUCGACCCCUUUAGCCCCGGCAGGGGAGGAAGGGCAGACCCACAGGUCGGGGAUUAGGAAUCAUGUUGCAUGACGCAAGGGACAGGCAGAAGUUCUUCAGCGAUGUUCAGUAUCUGCGGGACAUGCAGCAUAAGGUGGACUCUGAGUAUCAGGCUUGUCUGAGACGACAGGAAUAUAGAAGAGACCCAAAUGAGAAGAAACGCGAUCAGUUUUGGGGGCAAGACACAAGUUUUGAGAGAUCCCGGUUUUCUAGCAGGUCAUCUUCCAAACAGGCACCGGUGAGACCGCUGCUGGCCCAGAGGAGCUUGCUGUGAUUGACAGAGGCACGGAAG
rnacentral:sRNA from 1 species